GCCCCGGUGGCCGAGUGGUUAUGGCGUGAGACCUUUAGGGAGUCUCAUUGGUUCUACCAGCGCGGGUUCGAAUCCCGCCCGGGGCG
rfam:Caenorhabditis brenneri strain PB2801 C_brenneri-6.0.1_Cont67.42, whole genome shotgun sequence.